rnacentral:lncRNA from 1 species
GGCCGCCGUUUCUUCCUAGUCCCGGGACCCCUCUCCCUGCUCCUAUUGGCUAUCACGCCCACCGACAGCGCAACCUAUUGGUCGGCCUGUCGCUGGGUCCCGCCCUCGCUCCCACGUGACCGCGAAGCCGCCUGGCGGUGGGGCCGAGAUGGUCCCUCUAGCGGUGCUAGGGGCUUCUGCGGGGCCACCUGCGUUAACCCUUCGCUUCCCGAGGGCUUGGGGGACGAGGGCACCGCCAUUCCUUCUUCCCCAGGAACCCAGACUCGGCCAGGAACGGAAACCUGGAUUGUAUCUUGGCUGCACAGGGGGUAGGAGUUGUGACUCAGGAGUCGGAAUCGACAGCCCCAAGGAUAUUGACAAGCUCGUCCGGGGGCCAGUAGUCUCUCCAUAGUGUUUGUCUAGAGAGGGAGAGGUCUGGAGCAAGCCUGAGCUUCCAGUCCUGCAGAAGAAGGUUGUGGACAGAUGAGGGCUGGACAGAACAGGGUCCCUGGCUGAGCCCCCUUGGUCAGUACUGUUUUACCCUCCACCAAGCACACACAGGGGGAAACAAGUGAGCCUAACUCCCGUUCAAAGGCUUUGAGACACAGCAACAUUUAUGACGAGAAAGUUCACUGUGGUGGUUUGAAACAACAAGAAAUUGGAAAACAUCCAAGUGCCUUCAGUGGGGAUCCGUAACCUAAGCUGGGUGGUGGAUCCCAUGAAGCCUUUGAGAAGGGUGAGGUGGAGGGAUAGUGUAUCUGCAAGGAAAGAUCUCAUGCCAUAUGAAGUGAAAUAAAAAAAAAAAAAACACGUUUUCAAUCUCAUUUUAAUUUUAAAAAUAACAACCCACUAAACAGUGUUUCCCGGGUACGUGGGUGGCUCAGUUAAGAGUCUGACUCUUGAUUUCGGCUCAGGUCGUGAUCGUGAGACUGAGCCCCACAUCCGGCUCCACACUACAGCAGGGAGACUUCUUGGGAUUCUCUGUCUCCCUCUCUCUCUCUGCCCCUUUCCUGCUCGCUCAUGCACUUUCUCCCUCAAAAUGAAUAAAUACACUUAGAAACAAAUAAAGUGCUUUCCUACAGGAUGCAGCCCAUUAAGUAGAUUGUGAAAUGAUUGUAGUGUCACAAAUUAGUCGAACCAUAUGAAGUCACCUGUAUUUGACCAUUUUGACUACGAAGUUGUCUGUUUCAUGUGGUUCAACCUAGCAGCAUUAGCAAAGAUGCGGAAUGAACAGAUUAGACGAUAUCACUGCCUUUGCCUUCCGUGAAGUAAAGGAAAGUAAUGUUUUUUUUAUUUUUUUAAUGUCUAUUUAUUUUUGAGAGAGAGCGUGAGUGGGGGAGGAGCAGAGAGAGAGGGAGACACAGAAUCCGAAGCAGGCUCCAGGCUCUGAGCUGUCAGCACAGAGCCCCACGUGGGGCUCGAACUCACCAACUGCGAGAUCAUGACCUGAGCCGAAGUUGGACGUCUACCAACGGAGCCACCCGGGCGCCCCAAGGUAAGUCAUGUUUGUUGAAAAAUCAGAUAUCUAUAUGUACGUGUGUGCGUCUUACUCAGAGUCCCAGUCAUGAAAAUCACUGUUUGAAAAUCACUGCAAUGCAACUGCUAACUCGAGUGGGUGUUUUUUUUGGGGGGGGUGGGGGUUGGUAUUUUUAUUUAAUUUAUUUUUUAAAAUUUACAUCCAAGUUAGUGAGCAGAUAGUGCAACAGUGAUUUCAGGAGUAAGAUUCCUUAAUGCCCCUGACCCAUUUAGCCCACCCCCCCCACAACCCCUCCAGCAACCCUCUAUUUGUUCUCCAUGUUUAAGGGUCUCUAAUGAUUUGUCCCCCUCUCUGUUUUUAUAUUAUUUUUGCUUCCCUUCCCUUAUGCUCAUCUGUUUUGUCUCUUACAGUCCUCA